rnacentral:lncRNA from 1 species
CAUUACUUAUAUUAUUAUGGGAGCUUGGGGGAAUCUGAUAUGGCUAUGUCUCAGGUUGGCUCUAAAAAGUCACUCUACCUCGGCCUGAGGUGUGGGGCAUUCUUGAGGUCUACAGUCCUCAUCUGAGCCUACCCUGGUCCAGCCAGGCCUCUUCCGGGUCGGAUGACCUACCCACGAAAUUCGCAAGGCUCUCAGUUCUGCCGAGCUCGGCUACGCCGCCAGGGCCACAAACUCCUGCCUGUCGACUCCUAGUACCGACGGGAACUCCCUGAAGUACCCGGGGCGCGAGGUGGGUGAUCCAUGUGGCUGGGGCCCGCUUGUGUUCGAGAAUUUUACCGCUUCUGACUACGUUUCCCUCUGGCUACAAUUAGAUUUAGAGAGACUUGGACUACAUUUCCCAGAGACCACCGGGGCCAACUCGCUCUCUGCCUCUUUUUCCGUUCUGCGAUUGUUGGCUGCGCAGCGAAUCUGGGAUGUCUUUGAGGCAAAAGCCAGCGCCAGACCUACGGGAGAGGGAUCUGCAGACUCCGGCCAGCACCAUGGGAUUACUUGGCCUUCUGUGAAGGAAAACACUGAAUGCAAGGCGUGCGGGGAAUGCAGAGGCGAGGCGGCGUGGAACCUGGCCCCCGACGAGCAGGGAGCGGGGAGCUGUCCGAGGUGGUCGAGGCCUCUCAUUCUCCAAUAG